CGGGAAACUGGGGAUAAUACCCUAUAGCCUAUGGAUGCUGGAAUGCUCUGUAGCCGAAAGGUCAGCCGCCGUAGGAUGGGUCUGCGGCCGAUUAGGUUGUUGUUGGGGUAACGGCCCAACAAGCCUGUAAUCGGUACGGGUUGUGGGAGCAAGGGCCCGGAGAUGGAUUCUGAGACACGAAUCCAGGCCCUACGGGGCGCAGCAGGCGCGAAAACUUUGCAAUGCGGGAAACCGUGACAAGGGAACUCUGAGUGCCCGUAAGAUCGGGCUGUCCAUCGGUUUAAAUAACCGGGGGAGAAAGGGCCGGGCAAGACCGGUGCCAGCCGCCGCGGUAACA
rnacentral:rRNA from 1 species